AUUGAACGCUGGCGGAAUGCUUUACACAUGCAAGUCGAACGGCAGCACGGACUUCGGUCUGGUGGCGAGUGGCGAACGGGUGAGUAAUGUAUCGGAACGUGCCCAGUCGUGGGGGAUAACGUAGUGAAAAUUACGCUAAUACCGCAUACGAUCUAUGGAUGAAAGCGGGGGAUCGCAAGACCUCGCGCGAUUGGAGCGGCCGAUAUCAGAGUAGGUAGUUGGUGGGGUAAAGGCGCACCAAGCCAACGAUCUGUAGCUGGUCUGAGAGGACCACCAGCCACACUGGAACUGAGACACGGUCCAGACUCCUACGGGAGGCAGCAGUGGGGAAUUUUGGACAAUGGGCGAAAGCCUGAUCCAGCCAUUCCGCGUGCAGGAUGAAGGCCCUCGGGUUGUAAACUGCUUUUGUACAGAACGAAAAGGUUUCUACUAAUACUAGGAGCUCAUGACGGUACUGUAAGAAUAAGCACCGGCUAACUACGUGCCAGCCGCCGCGGUAA
rnacentral:rRNA from 1 species